UUGCCCGGUCUACCUUACGUU
rnacentral:misc_RNA from 1 species